UACGUAGGGGGCGAGCGUUGUCCGGAUUUAUUGGGCGUAAAGAGCUCGUAGGCGGUUGGGUAAGUCGGGUGUGAAAACUCAGGCUCAACUCUGAGACGCCACUCGAUACUGCUCUGACUCGAGUCCGGUAGGGGAGCGUGGAAUUCCCGGUGUAGCGGUGAAAUGCGCAGAUAUCGGGAGGAACACCAAUGGCGAAGGCAGCUCGCUGGGACGUGACUGACGCUGAGACGCGAAAGCGUGGGGAGCAAACAGG
rnacentral:rRNA from 1 species